GUCAAAAAUGUGAGGAGGGAUGAAGCCACAGCUGUGAUGUACUAGCUAUCUAUCUGCCCUGUGGUGAUGUGAUGGUGGUGUGGAUCAAAAGCAGCCCCCAAAACUGUCCAGGUGAGUGGCAGACUUGCGCUCUCUACACAGAAUCACUCGCGACCAAUCUCAACAAGCGCGCGAGGCGGGAGAGACGCCUGCGUCAAUGUGAGGAAGAGGAGGACUACUUUAACGCUUCGAACACACCGAAUGCUAAAUGCAUCAACGCUGCAUAACAUUUUGCGCGGCUAUGCAACUAUACUGAUGCAGGUAUUGGACACGGUUGGACACAUGGAGGAGAGAAUCCUGUUCAGUAUCCUCAAAACCGUGUUUUUUUUACACAACUGCUGACAGCUUCAGGGACAUAACCACAAAAAAUGCUGCUUGGAGACAAGUGUCCACGAUAGUACCAUUGCCCGGUCAGUUUAGUAGUGAGCUUGUGCUAUAUGUGGCUAGUUAGCUAGCUAGCUAGCUACCCUAGCCAAUUGUGUGUGUGUGUGUGUGUGUGUGUGUGUGUGUGUGUGUGUGUGUGUGUGUGUGUGUGUGUGUGACAAAGAAAUAGUAAUAUAAAUUAUGCUGGUUACUACCCCUGAUAACUUGCCCAAAUAAUCAUGCUUGAAAGAGUGUGGGUGUGUAUGUCAGAUAAAUAGAAAUGGUAGAUAUUACUGUACCCCUAAUAAUUUGGUCAGAUGUCUGUGUGUAUAGUAGGUGAUAUGUCAAUGAUAGCUAUCUAAUAACUAUAGUUAUGCUAGGUGAUGGUUUGGCUUAUCAUGUUCAUGUCUAUGUAGAAGAAGACUGUAGGAGGAAGUGGAGAGGACUCAGGGACAGGUAUCAGAGAGAGAAGAGGUCUGGGUCAGCAGCUUCAGGCCAGCAGCCUUGGCGCUUCUUCCACAUUCUUUCUUUUCUGGAUCCAUUUAUUGUGCCUAGGACAACAAGUGACAAUUUUACAGCCAGACCCUUUACGUCAUCCACAAGUGUGGGCGCCACUGGUGCAUCAAGACUCUCUACGUCAUUAACAAGUGAGACCAGUCUCCAUCGGUGCAGAGACCCUCUACAUCAUCCACAAAUAUGACCACCACCGGUGCAGCCAUGGAAGAUGAUGAAAUGGAGGAAGCACCUCUGGAUCUUUGACCACCUGAGAUUAUUAAGACCCUCACGGGAAGUGACCACUGAGGACCUUGUUGAACAGGAUGUGGCCGUGGAGAGAAACGAAGAGGAACAACGUCACACCAGGCAUCAUCGGAGGUACCAGCCCCCAGAUCCACUCAACUCAUUUCAGCAGAGGCUCCUCCAAGCCAUUCAUCAGCUGCUUUUCUAUGCUGAGUUCAAUGAGAUGGAGUCAAUUUAGCGGACCAGCUCAUAGGAAGGACAGGAAGAGGAGAUUGUCUGGUUGUUGUUUUGACCUUCUCCUCCAUGGGUUUUGAGCGGGAGGUAAGGAAAGGACGCGAGGAAUCAAGGAACUGCAACUGAGAUUUUCCCACUGUCCUCAACUGAGAUUUUGAAACGGUUCUUAUUGCCUUACUAUGUCCUUGUUAGUAGUUUCUCAAUACUUAGGAUAGCAUUCAAUUUUAGUUGUACAAAGAUUGCAUGAAAAUUGACUGAAUUGAAACUGACACACCAGAGAAUUCAGAUGCUCUUGUUGUUCUUUUACAAGACUAAAGGUGAAAUAUGUGUUUACCUGUAUUGUGGCUCCACAUUCACUUUUAGUUUUCAGACACACACACCUCCACUCCUCUAUGUACCUCAGAUCUCCAGUGCCCUGCCCUCUCUCUUUAUGGCCAUGUCUGAAGUUCCCCUACUAUGUCUAGGCUUUAUGAGUAGUCCCUGUAUCUCUCUGCAGUUAUGCAAAACAUACAUGCUCUUGUUGUUCUCUUACAGAUUACACAUUCAUUUUUAUAUUUUUACAGGCACAUACAGUACACACACACCUCUCAAUAGUUUUUCUUUUUUAUAAUGUUUUUACAACACAUACCUGUCAUGUUCUUUCCUGUACUUGAAUACUUAUUAAAUUAUGUUUUCAUUGUCA